UAAUGAGCUGAGCUAUGCAUGAACUGAAAUUUUGGGAUCUUUGACAUUUUAAUGAGAGAUAUAAGCAGAUUAUUUACCAGUAUGCACCCAGCUACUAUUUUCACAUAUGCUAACUGAUCAUUUGUUGCAAAUACGCAUAUAUCGAAGAAAUGUGUUUGCGAUAAGUUACGAGAUAUGCAAAUGAAGUCAAUUUCCAAUAUGGCGGCUUGUUUUGUGUAUUUACCAAAAUGGUUCUAUGGCUGUCUUUUAUAUGAAGAAAAAAUUGGCUUGUGAGAAGUAGAAUGUCUGAAACAGCAAAGGAGACUGAAGCAUCAGGAAAUGAUGAGAGAAAACAGGUGUUAAAGUGAGUACAUUUCAUUUUGAUGUUGUUACAGACAUGCUUGCAUACACUUCAUUGUGAAUGCUGUCACUGGUGGCUGUCAUUUUAAAAUCUCCUAAACUGAAGGUGAGCAUUUCUGAUCACAAUUUUGUUCAUCGUCUGUCCGUCCACCAGUAAACUUUUUCCAGAUAUUUGAUAUAUUGUCCAGAAUCACUGAACCAAUUUCAAGCCAACUUUCAAAGCAUGAAGGGGAUUCAGGUGUGGUGAGCAGUUAUACAAUUUUUAGCUCACCUGUGCUUAAGGCUCAAGUGAGUUCUCUGAUCAAAAUUUGUCCCUUGCCCGACAUCAUUAUUUUGUUGUAGUCAUUAUUGUUGUAAACUUUUUUUACAAUCUCAUCCUCUUCUUUUGAACCACUGGACCUAUUUAAACCAAACUUGGUACAAAGUAUUGGUAGGUAAAGGGGAAAAGGGGAUUCAAGUUUUUUCAAAUAUAGGGCAUUGCCAUCU